UCCUUGGCAGUCCAGUGGCUAGGACUCAGGGCUUUCACUGCUGUGGGCCCAGGUUCAAUCCUUGGUUGGGGAA
rnacentral:tRNA from 1 species